GGGGGUAUAGCUCAUUGGUACAGCACAUGCUUAGCAUGCAUGAGGAGGCACUGGGUCUGAUUCCCAGUAUUUGCA
rnacentral:tRNA from 1 species